rnacentral:rRNA from 1 species
UACGAAGGGGGCUAGCGUUGCUCGGAAUUACUGGGCGUAAAGCGCGCGCAGGCGGCUAUCCAAGUCAGUGGUGAAAGCCCGGAGCUCAACUCCGGAACUGCCAUUGAAACUGUUUAGCUUGAGGACGAGAGAGGUGAGUGGAAUUCCCAGUGUAGAGGUGAAAUUCGUAGAUAUUGGGAAGAACACCGGUGGCGAAGGCAGCUCUCUGGGUCCCUACCGACGCUGGGUGCGAAAGCGUGGGGAGCAAACAGG